rnacentral:snRNA from 1 species
AUACUUACCUGGUGUCGGGCUGACCGGUGGUCCCGAUGGCCGGCGCCCCAAGUGGAGGUCGUCCAUUGCACUGCGGUCGGCUGAAGCUUGCCACUUCCCCUAAUCGGGGCAGAUGGGGCAUGUAAUUUUUGGUAGUGGGGCUAGGCGUUCGCGCCGGCCCCUU